AAAAGAAGUAUGGAAGGCAGGGGUAGCAAGGCGGAGCUGUGCCCUGUCACGGCACACAGAGAAUGCCCAUGGAUUUUCACAAAUGCUGUUAAAAUGUGAAAAGAAGGUGUUUCUUUUUUCUUCAAUCUGAGCUUCAAGCUAAUAUGGGCAUUCAGCUAAAUCCCUCCUGGGUCCUGAAACAGUAUGUGGUUUUGGAUUUCAAAGAUAAUCCCUACAACUUCUGGGAGAGGUGCAAGUAUCAACCAGUUGGAGACACAGGGAAAGGGUGAUAUAAUGCAGAAAGUGACUUGAACAAAUUUACACAGAAGGCAGUGAAGUGUGAUUCAAAUUCAAGCAGUCUAGACUGUGCCCCACACAACUCUGCAGCAUAACCUUGCAGUAUGAAAAUAAUGCCUCUCAUGCAGAUCAGGGAUAUGAGAUCCAGUGACUUACCCAAAGUUUCAAAGGAAAGAUGUAACAGAGCCAUCUCUGAACUUCUGCUCUUGGGAAUCUACACACUCUUUCCACUAGUUCUGACCUUAGCAGGUGUUUGACCCAGGACUUGCCCAACUUGGUUUCCAUUUGUAUAGAACUAAUGCCAAAUUUCAAAAGAAAAUAUUACAUACCAUAAUCAAUAAAAACAAAAUAUCAAACAUGAAAAAAAAAAAAAAA
rnacentral:lncRNA from 1 species